CAAUGACGAAAGCAGAUAUUCUAAAGACAGCCAGAUUACUACGCUAACUCCGUGUGAUAAUGCGCAUUCAAUAAUUUACAGAGUGUGGUGCUGCCGUACUACUUUUGUUAAUUGCUAUGUUCUUUCUGGUAGAACAUUAGCUACUGUGUAUUAUGCAAUCGUAUACUGGGAGCAACUACACUUGGACAAAAGCCACAGGUUUUAAAGAGUUUCCCGGAGUGCCUUCAAGCAAAUAUAUAACUUCAUUUGAAGAGAAACUUGCUGAAUAAGUGCCCAGCGUUCCAGAAGGCAUUUACAGGUCAUAUGGCGACUUUCCGGCUCUAAGGAAUAUCCCAGGUACCCACUCCAAGCAUUACUUUGUGCAUGAGUGGACAACUUGAUAGAACCUCGCACAUCCACAAAGUCCACUUAAUGUUUUCCUCACAUGAAAGAAUUCUACUCCACACCGAGGUUUAGAACCUAUAUCAGCGAGAGGGAAGUGAAGACACCGACCGUAGCCACUCGGGCAUGUAGGCCCGUCCUAGCAUUUAUAAAACUCUGAUCGUGUGGAUAUCUUCGUGUCUUAUCUAUGCAGUACGCCCCCUGGUGAAACAUUGCUACAUCCGGGUGAUAUACUGACAGCUCUCUAUC
rnacentral:lncRNA from 1 species